CCAUCUGGACAGAUCAGAGUAAAUCUGAAAUGAGUUUCCAGGUCUGGAUUUUAGAAAGAUGAAAGGGGACUAAAAUAAAGGUUUCUGUGGCGAACUCUGAGGAGGAAUUCAAGAACACCACAGUUGAAGAAUUGAAAAGAAAACUCUUUUCUGCAGACAGCAGAUAUAAAGUCUGUGAGCUUUACUGCAAUGGUGAGCGUCUGUUUCAUGAUCGGACACUUGGCUCUCAUGGCAUUAAACACAGUGAUGUUAUUAUGAUUGCUCCACCGAUGCUUCCACAACGACAGCAUUUGUUUUCGCCCGAGCAGUAAUUGUGGAAAUGUGAACACACAUAUUUAUAUCUUUAAUUAUCAUUCCUUCCAGCAUUUAAAGGUACAGAAAGACAGAUUUAUGGCAACACAUCUCAUUCAGCUCCAGACACAUCUCCUCUUGUUCUGUUUCACAGAAAGUCUCUCAUCUAAAGAUGAACGUGAAGGUGAAUUCAUAUCCAGGACAGAAUCUAUGGAGAAAUUAACUCUCAAUAUGUAAAUGAUUCGACUCACACAGCAUGCUGAUGUAUUUAUGAGUUCAGUGCAUCAUUAAUCAAACUUCUUCACAUGAUCCACAGAGAAUUAUAAAUACAUUCAGAUAAAGUGUCAUAUCAGUCUCAUUGACUUCAUUCAACUCAAUAUUAAACAGUGUAUGAUGGAGUGUGUCUUUUCAUGUGUUUCAUGUGCAAAUAUUGUACAACUCAUUUAGUUUAUUAAUGCAUUUGAACAUUAAUAUUUUGUGAAAUAUGUGAUUUCACUAAUCUCAGAAGCUCAAAAGUAGAGAAUACAGGAAUAAGAUAUGAUAAAUAUAAAUAUGAAAAUAUUUUUAAUGCCAAGAUUGUAUAAAUUGUAUUACUGUAUGUAGCUAUAAUAUUAUUCUUCCAAUUAUUAGAUUUUUCUUCAAAACAAGGCAACAGAUUAAAAAUAAGCACACCACUGCCACAGUAUUUUCUAACUUAUUAGUUUUAUAUUACAUUGUUCUUUGCCAGUUCAUUGUAAUUGUUUGUGAAAUGUAUGAUUUCUGAGUGAAAUUUGAUCAGUGAGUCCAAAAUGAACAACUCUCUCGUACCAACAGAUUAAUGUUGAGCUAAAUGAUCAUCAGUGAGCUGAAUUACUCAGGUUCUACUGGAGAUCCAU